rnacentral:rRNA from 1 species
GACGAACGCUGGCGGCGUGCUUAACACAUGCAAGUCGAACGAAGAGCGAUGGAAGCUUGCUUCUAUCAAUCUUAGCGGCGAACGGGUGAGUAACGCGUAAUCAACCUGCCCUUCAGAGGGGGACAACAGUUGGAAACGACUGCUAAUACCGCAUACGAUCUAACCUCGGCAUCGAGGAAAGAUGAAAGGUGGCCUCUAUGUAUAAGCUAUCACUGAAGGAGGGGAUUGCGUCUGAUUAGCUAGUUGGAGGGGUAACGGCCCACCAAGGCGAUGAUCAGUAGCCGGUCUGAGAGGAUGAACGGCCACAUUGGGACUGAGACACGGCCCAGACUCCUACGGGAGGCAGCAGUGGGGAAUCUUCCGCAAUGGACGAAAGUCUGACGGAGCAACGCCGCGUGAGUGAUGACGGCCUUCGGGUUGUAAAGCUCUGCUAAUCGGGACGAAAGGCCUUCUUGCGAAUAGUGAGAAGGAUUGACGGUACCGGAAUAGAAAGCCACGGCUAACUACGUG